rnacentral:rRNA from 1 species
AUGGAGCACGGCGAUGGCAAAACCGCCGCCAAGCGAACCAGGCUCUCCGCCGCCGCCGGCGGAGGCAUUGACGACUUCCUCAGCGCGCUGCCCGAUGACUUGGUUCUCCACAUCCUUCACACGCUCCGCGAUUCCCCCACCGCCGCCCGAACCAGUCUCCUCUCCCGCCGCUGGCGCCGCCUCUGGGCCCUUCUCCCGCAGGUCUACUUCCCCGGAUACACCGCCCCCCACCUUAUAGCCCCCGCCCUCGCCGCCCAUGAAGCACCGACCCUCCAUCACCUCGUUGUCUUCGUCCAGGACGCCCCUGCCGAAUCCAUGGCGGCCUGGCUCCCAAUUGCUUCACGCCGCCUCUCCGGCGAUCUGUUCUUCGACAACAAGGUGCAGCAGAAUGGUGGGCGGGACGAGGCCGGAGAAAGAGGGGCCUUUGAGCUGCCCUGCUUCAAGAACGCCACCUUGCUCUCGCUCCACCUGGGGUUUCUCGGCCUCGCGCCGCCGCCUACCGGUGUAUUCACCCGGCUCACCAAUCUCUGCCUCGUUCACUUCCGGCUACACGGUCCGUGCCAGCUCGGGGACGCCCUCUCCUCUCCGCGGUGCCCGGCCUUGCGAGAACUCACUCUCUGCGAUGCCCGGGGCCUGGACAAUUUCACCAUACAUUCGGAGUCUCUAAUGACAAUAAAGCUCAGGAAAUUGCGUGGCCUGCAGCGCCUCACUGUUGUGGCGCCGGCACUCAAAGAGUUAACUGUCUUCUACAGCUUUGCUAAUGCCCCUAAUCCAAGUCAACCGGUUGCCACCAUCUCAACCCCUCGGCUGGUGUCGCUUGAGUGGAGUGAUGCAUAUGAUCCAGUCUCUGUUCAGUUUGGCAGGAUGACACGUCUUCAAUGGCUGGGCACAAGCUUUUAUGUUGUAUAUGGACCAAGUGGCAUUGAACACAAUCGCGAUUUGAUGAGGCUCUUCCGGCACUUUAAGGUCAUCCACAGUUUGAGACUUACACUGAAUUAUCAGCGGGACCUAAGUAACAGGCAAUACUUGAUGGAGGAUAUGACAAUGCUCCCAGUCAUUUCAUUAUUGAGCAUUAGUGUAAUAGCACAUGGACAUGCCUGUGGAGCCAGCUUAUUCCAUGUUCUCAGGAUGUGUACCGGUGUAAGAAGGCUGAUCCUAACAUUAAAUCCUCAUACCAGUCUGGAGGUACAAACAUGUCCACUAGGUUGCAUAUGUGAUCAGCCACUAAACUGGAGAUCUGAGGAGCUGGUGCUGGAUUGCCUCGAAGAUGUAGAAAUCAGAGGGCUGAGAGGAACCGAAUGGGAAGUAGCUCUGGUGGAACGGUUAUUCGGCUGGUCUACAGCACUAAAGACGGUGAAUAUAACUUUCUUCCGUUUAAUGACUGAAAGCAGGGCCAAGGAGUUGCGCCAGAUGUUACUACGCUUCUCCAGUCCAGACACAUGUAUGACAUUUUAG